rnacentral:rRNA from 1 species
UACGUAGGGGGCAAGCGUUGUCCGGAUUUAUUGGGCGUAAAGAGCUCGUAGGCGGUUGGGCAAGUCACGUGUGAAAUCUCCACGCUCAACGUGGAGGCGCCACGUGAGACUGCCCUGACUCGAGUCCGGUAGGGGAGCGUGGAAUUCCCGGUGUAGCGGUGAAAUGCGCAGAGAUCGGGAGGAACACCCGUAGCGAAGGCGGCGCUCUGGGCCAUUGCUGACGCUGAGGCGCGAAAGCGUGGGGAGCAAACAGG